GAUGAACGCUGGCGGCGUGCCUAAUACAUGCAAGUCGAGCGAACAGACGAGGAGCUUGCUCCUCUGACGUUAGCGGCGGACGGGUGAGUAACACGUGGAUAACCUACCUAUAAGACUGGGAUAACUUCGGGAAACCGGAGCUAAUACCGGAUAAUAUAUUGAACCGCAUGGUGCAAUAGUGAAAGACGGUUUUGCUGUCACUUAUAGAUGGAUCCGCGCCGCAUUAGCUAGUUGGUAAGGUAACGGCUUACCAAGGCAACGAUGCGUAGCCGACCUGAGAGGGUGAUCGCCCACACUGGAACUGAGACACGGUCCAGACUCCUACGGGAGGCAGCAGUAGGGAAUCUUCCGCAAUGGUCGAGAGCCUGACGGAGCAACGCCGCGUGAGUGAUGAAGGUCUUCGGAUCGUAAAACUCUGUUAUUAGGGAAGAACAAAUGUGUAAGUAACUAUGCACGUCUUGACGGUACCUAAUCAGAAAGCCACGGCUAACUACGUG
rnacentral:rRNA from 1 species